UUUCUGCCACCGAAUACAUUAGCAUGGGAUAAUGGAAUAGGACCCUGUCCUCCUAUUUUCAGUUGGUUUUGGCAGCGCGAGGACUAGGGUAAUGAUUAAUAGGGAUAGUUGGGGGCAUUAAUAUUUAAUUGUCAGAGGUGAAAUUCUUGGAUUUAUGAAAGAUUAACUUCUGCGAAAGCAUCUGCCAAGGAUGUUUUCAUUAAUCAAGAACGAAAGUUAGGGGAUCGAAGACGAUCAGAUACCGUCGUAGUCUUAACCAUAAACGAUGCCGACCAGCGAUUAGGAGACGUUGAAUACAAAACACCACCAUCGGCGCGGUCGUCCUUGGCGUCGGUCCUUCACGGGGCCGGCGCGAGGGCGGCUUAGCCCGGUGGCACCGGUGAAUGACUCCCCUAGCAGCUUGUGA
rnacentral:rRNA from 1 species